UGCUAUACAUGCAAGUCGAGCGGACAGAAGGGAGCUUGCUCCCGGAUGUUAGCGGCGGACGGGUGAGUAACACGUGGGUAACCUGCCUGUAAGACUGGGAUAACUCCGGGAAACCGGAGCUAAUACCGGAUAGUUCCUUGAACCGCAUGGUUCAAGGAUGAAAGACGGUUUCGGCUGUCACUUACAGAUGGACCCGCGGCGCAUUAGCUAGUUGGUGGGGUAAUGGCUCACCAAGGCGACGAUGCGUAGCCGACCUGAGAGGGUGAUCGGCCACACUGGGACUGAGACACGGCCCAGACUCCUACGGGAGGCAGCAGUAGGGAAUCUUCCGCAAUGGACGAAAGUCUGACGGAGCAACGCCGCGUGAGUGAUGAAGGUUUUCGGAUCGUAAAGCUCUGUUGUUAGGGAAGAACAAGUGCGAGAGUAACUGCUCGCACCUUGACGGUACCUAACCAGAAAGCCACGGCUAACUACGUGCCAGCAGCCGCGGUAAUWMSKWRGUGGCAAGCGUKKUCCGGAAUUAUUGGGCGUAAAGGGCUCGCAGGCGGUUUCUUAAGUCUGAUGUGAAAGCCCCCGGCUCAACCGGGGAGGGUCAUUGGAAACUGGGAAACUUGAGUGCAGAAGAGGAGAGUGGAAUUCCACGUGUAGCGGUGAAAUGCGUAGAGAUGUGGAGGAACACCAGUGGCGAAGGCGACUCUCUGGUCUGUAACUGACGCUGAGGAGCGAAAGCGUGGGGAGCGAACAGGAUUAGAUACCCUGGUAGUCCACGCCGUAAACGAUGAGUGCUAAGUGUUAGGGGGUUUCCGCCCCUUAGUGCUGCAGCUAACGCAUUAAGCACUCCGCCUGGGGAGUACGGUCGCAAGACUGAWACUCAAAGGAAUUGACGGGKGSCUCGCACAAGCKSUGGMGCWUGUGGUUUAWUUCGAAGCWACGYGAAGAAYCUUACYWGKUCUUGACWUSCUCCUGACAACCCURSRRRUAGGGSUKUCCCUUCGGGGACAGAGUGACAGGUGGUGCAUGGUUGUCGUCAGCUCGUGUCGUGAGAUGUUGGGUUAAGUCCCGCAACGAGCGCAACCCUUGAUCUUAGUUGCCAGCAUUCAGUUGGGCACUCUAAGGUGACUGCCGGUGACAAACCGGAGGAAGGUGGGGAUGACGUCAAAUCAUCAUGCCCCUUAUGACCUGGGCUACACACGUGCUACAAUGGACAGAACAAAGGGCUGCAAGACCGCAAGGUUUAGCCAAUCCCAUAAAUCUGUUCUCAGUUCGGAUCGCAGUCUGCAACUCGACUGCGUGAAGCUGGAAUCGCUAGUAAUCGCGGAUCAGCAUGCCGCGGUGAAUACGUUCCCGGGCCUUGUACACACCGCCCGUCACACCACGAGAGUUUGCAACACCCGAAGUCGGUGAGGUAACCUUUAUGGAGCCAGCCGCCGAAG
rnacentral:rRNA from 1 species